AGGGCGUAUGGUGGAUGCCUUGGCAGACAGUACCGAUGAAGGACGUUUGAGGAUGCGAUAAUCCUAGGGGAGCCUCCAACAUGGCUUUGAUCCUAGGGUCUCCGAAUGGGGGAACCCGCCGGCCGUCAUGGGCCGGCACCGCCUAUGGGCGGGGGGUACGCAGGGAAGUGAAACAUCUCAGUACCUGCAGGAAGGGAUACUCCGUGAGUAGUGGCGAGCGAAAGCGGAUCAGACCAAACCGGUUGCGCGUGAUACCCGUCGGGGGUUGCGUUGCCGGUGUCGUGGGAUCACGUGUCCCGGUUCCGACGGGCCGGGCGGGAGUCAUAAAACGGCUUGCCAGGGGAACAGGCUUGAAGGCCUGGCCGUAGAGGGUGCCAGCCCCGUACCUGGACGUGAGCCGUCUUCCGAUCGUGUUGUCCCAAGUAGCGCGGGCCUCGUGGAAUCCCGCGUGAAUCAGCCCAGACCGUUGGGUAAGUCUAAGCAUACCUGUCUGACCGAUAGCGUACCAGUACCGUGAGGGAAAGGUGAAAAGCACCCCGGGAGGGGAGUGAAACAGUUCCUGAAACCGUGCGCCCACAAACCGUCGGAGCCUCCUUGUGGGGUGACGGCGUGCCUAUCGAAAAAUGAGUCUGCGAGUCAGUGGCGGGUGGCGAGCAUAAGCCGUGUGGCGUAUGCGUAGCGAAAGCGAGUCUUAAAAGGCGUUUUUUAGUCGCUUGUCCUGGACCCGAAGCGGGAUGAUCUAGCCCUGGGCAGGUUGAAGCGCGGGUAAGACCGCGUGGAGGACCGAACCCACCUGGGUUGAAAACCGGGGGGAUGACCUGGGGCUAGGGGUGAAAGGCCAAUCAAAUUCCGUGAUAGCUGGUUCUCUCCGAAAUGCAUUUAGGUGCAGCGUCGGUCGAUUGCGUCGCGGGGGUAGAGCUACCGGAUGCUUGCGGGCCCUUGUUGGGUACCAACAGCAGCCGAACUCCGAAUACCGUUGACGUGUAUUCCGGCAGUGAGUCGGCGGGGGAUAAGCUCCGUCGUCGAGAGGGAGACAGCCCAGACCGUCGUCUAAGGUCCCGAAGCGUGUGCUAAGUGGGAAAGGAUGUGGAGUCGCAUAGACAGCCAGGAGGUUGGCUCAGAAGCAGCCAUCCUUGAAAGAGUGCGUAACAGCUCACUGGUCUAGUGGUUCCGCGCCGACAAUGUAGCGGGGCUCAAGCACACCACCGAAGACGCGGCAGCAAUCUUCAUGGUUGCUGGGUAGGAGAGCGUCCUGCGAGGGGCGAAGCGGCCGGGUAACCGUGCCGUGGACUUCGUGGGAGUGAGAAUGCAGACAUGAGUAGCGAGAGACGGGUGAGGAUCCCGUCCGCUGGAUGACCAAGGGUUCCGGGGCCACGUUCGUCGUCCCCGGGUGAGUCGGGUCCUAAGGCGAGGCCGACAGGCGUAGUCGAAUGGAUGAACGGGUGGAUAUUCCCGUACCGACCAUGGACCGGCAAAACCGAGACGGUGAGUACUAACCUCCGCCUCGUGGUGGUUCCUUCCUUCGGGUUGGUUCCGCCGCGUGGUGUUGGGACUGUAGCCGCAGUAGGUCAGCGCAGGGGUGACACGGAAUGGGAGCCGGCCGCGGAGGUGGUUUUCCGUGGUCAAGCACGCAGCCAGUCAUGUAGGCAAAUCCGCAUGGCGCGCAUGGCGAGGUGUGAUGAUGGGAGCCGUUAUGGCUCGAUAUCCGGUUGUCCAGGCCGUCGAGAAAAGCCUCGGCGUGAGGGCCAUGGCCGCCCGUACCCCAAACCGACACUGGUGGUCAGGUAGAGAAUACCAAGGCGAUCGAGCGAAUCCUGGUCAAGGAACUCGGCAAAUCACUCCCGUGCCUUCGGUAUAAGGGAGACCCGCUGGGGUGAACCGGCUAGCCCGGGGAGCUUUGGUGGGUGGCACAGACCAGGGGGUAGCGACUGUUUACCAAAAACACAGGUGCAUGCGAAGGCGAAAGCCGCUGUAUAUGCACUGACGCCUGCCCGGUGCCGGAAGGUUAAGAGGAUCCGUCAGUCCCUUCGGGAUGAAGCGGUGAAUUCAAGCCCCGGUAAACGGCGGUGGUAACUAUAACCAUCCUAAGGUAGCGAAAUUCCUUGUCGGGUAAGUUCCGACCUGCACGAAUGGCGUAACGA
rnacentral:rRNA from 1 species